rnacentral:lncRNA from 1 species
UGUGGGUCUCAGCACCCUUUGGCAAUAACCAGCUCCUGCUGUCCUGCUGGCCGGUUCAUCUCUGCUCCUGGAGCAUGGCUGGGAACACCAGCUGGCCCCUCAGGCUUCCUGCCAAAUCACUGCAAAAGGCACCAAAAGACUCAGCACCCCGAGGGUUGGCAGUAGGUGCAGGCAUUGUCUGAGCUCAGCUCCUGUGAAGGAGGAUUACGCUGAUUUCAGCGGUGUCUCGUUCUGUGCUCAGCAAAAUCCCUUGGGCCUGGGUUAGGUGGUGCCAGUGGUCACUUCCACUGCAUAUUGCUUCGUCUCACUGAAAUACCACAGGACUGCUCGUUCUGCUCCCUUCUGCACACUGAGGGGCACCGACCAUGCCGCUAGCUCCCCAUUCUUGCAUUUCUUGCCAGUUUCUCAUUUUUUGCCUUUCCUGCCUCAAACUGCAAAGAGGGAACUGGGGGGUGGCUGUGGGCUGGCCCAGGUGCUGGCUGUUACCAGCUAGCCCUGUCUGCCUCCUGUGUGGGGCUGGGCAAGGCUAUUAAUGCCUAUGGGCAGGGCAGGCUGCUCCCUGAAGGCUGUGCAGCAGGAGCAACAGGGCAGGCUCCAGCCCCUGGUCCUUCUGCCCCCAGAGAAAGGUGCUUUCAGCUGCAGAGACCCAGUUCAAAACCAUGCUGCACGGAAGCUGUUAAAGUUUGAGAGCUUCUUGCAAAUUCCCAUAAAAUGAGGAGAGAAGGCAAUUCAUCCCGUGGCGAGACUGGAACUGUUCCUGACUGCAUGACGCUGCUCAAAGAAGCAGUGGGUCCUGCAUCACCGCCAGCCUGAGCCCAGCAAUGUGCUGUCACGAUGAGAUGUCUUGCAGCAGCCCUUGUGUUUCCCUGCCUUUGUGGUGUUUUGGCUCCUCAUCUGAACUGGUAUAAAGUCUCCUGUUGGUCCUCGCUGGCCUCUUGGGUGAGUAAGUGUUCAUUUAGCAUUCACUGCGGGUGCCGGUGCCAAGCAGCUGAGCUUCAAACCAGGCUUUAGGUUCUGGCUUUUUGACCAGAUCACCCCAUUGUGUGCCCCUGAGCAGUUCUGUGUGCUGACAGCUUGAAAGCAAUGGGCUGC